GAUGUCGAUGAUUCAGUUGUAGUUGUUGGGUCAGGACUUGUGAUGACUUCAGUUGUUGUUGCAUCAGUUGAGGUGGUUGUAAGCAGGGUUGUUGCUUGUUCUGUAGUUGAUGUUGGAGAUUCAGUGGUUGUACUGGUUUGUACUGUGGUUGUUUCUUGCACUGUAGUCUCAAGUUGAGCUGUUGAUG